CCAAUAGCGUAUAUUAAAGUUGUUGCAGUUAAAAAGCUCGUAGUUGAACUUCGGGAUCAAUGAGUUGGUCGUGCCAUUGGUAUGAACUGGCUUUAUUGGUUCUCACCUUCUAAUGAACCAUAAUGUCAUUCAUUUGAUGUUUUGGGGAAUUAGGACUGUUACCUUGAAAAAAUUAGAGUGUUUAAAGCAGGCUCACGCUU
rnacentral:rRNA from 1 species